ensembl:snRNA U2 U2 spliceosomal RNA
AUCACUUCUCGGCCUUUUGGCUAAGAUCAAGUGUAGUAUCUGUCCUUAUCAGUUUAAUAUCUGAUAUGUCCUCUAUCCAAGGACAAUAUAUUAAAUGGAUUUUUGUAGCUCGGAGUUGGAAUAGGAGCUUGUUCCGUCCACUUCACGCAUCGACCUAGUAUUGCAGUAUUUCCAGGAAUGGUGCACCCCCU